rnacentral:tRNA from 3 species
GGCCCUAUCGUCUAAUGGUUCGGACAUACCCCUUUCACGGGUAAAAUCGGAGUUCGAUUCUCCGUGGGGCUG